UUUCCGUAGGUGAACCUGCGGAAGGAUCAUUAAAAAAAGAGAAACGUCCCGUUCUUUUUCAUAGGAAUGGGUUCUAUUCCCUUAAACCGUGUCUACAUACCUUUGUUGCUUUGGCAGGCCGCCUUCGGGCGUCGGCUCCGGCUGAUAGUGCCUGCCAGAGGACCCAAACUCUAUGUUUAGUGAUGUCUGAGUACUAUAUAAUAUUUAAAACUUUCAACAACGGAUCUCUUGGUUCUG
rnacentral:misc_RNA from 1 species